rnacentral:rRNA from 1 species
UACAGAGGGUGCAAGCGUUGUUCGGAAUUAUUGGGCGUAAAGGGUGCGUAGGUGGUUUGGCAAGUCUUAUGUGAAAUCUUCGGGCUCAACCCGAAGCCUGCAUAAGAAACUGCCGGGCUUGAGUAUGGGAGAGGUGAGUGGAAUUUCCGGUGUAGCGGUGAAAUGCGUAGAUAUCGGAAGGAACACCUGUGGCGAAAGCGGCUCACUGGACCAUAACUGACGCUGAGGCACGAAAGCUAGGGGAGCAAACAGG